GAUGAACGCUGGCGGCGUGCCUAAUACAUGCAAGCCGAGCGAACGGACGAGAAGCUUGCUUCUCUGAUGUUAGCGGCGGACGGGUGAGUAACACGUGGAUAACCUACCUAUAAGACUGGGAUAACUUCGGGAAACCGGAGCUAAUACCGGAUGAUAUUUUGAACCGCAUGGUUCAAAAGUGAAAGACGGUCUUGCUGUCACUUAUAGAUGGAUCCGCGCUGCAUUAGCUAGUUGGUAAGGUAACGGCUUACCAAGGCAACGAUGCAUAGCCGACCUGAGAGGGUGAUCGGCCACACUGGAACUGAGGCACGGUCCAGACUCCUACGGGAGGCAGCAGUAGGGAAUCUUCCGCAAUGGGCGAAAGCCUGACGGAGCAACGCCGCGUGAGUGAUGAAGGUCUUCGGAUCGUAAAACUCUGUUAUUAGGGAAGAACAUAUGUGUAAGUAACUGUGCACAUCUUGACGGUACCUAAUCAGAAAGCCACGGCUAACUACGUG
rnacentral:rRNA from 1 species